rnacentral:tRNA from 1 species
AUUUCUUUAGUAUACUAGUAUAAGUACCUUCCAAGCACUAGGCCCCUCGCGGGAAGAAAUA